rfam:Picea glauca, whole genome shotgun sequence.
AAAAUGGUGUUUUUAAACACCACCCAAUAAUUCUCAGAAAUAUGGG